rnacentral:lncRNA from 1 species
AUGCAUCUGUUGUUUUCAAUUAGCUUGAUGGUAUCCAUUUUCAGGAAGCAGAUGCUGCCCUCUUUUACACCGGUGCAAUUCUGGAAUAACUCCACUGACGUCAGUGAAGUGAAAUUUAUCCCAGUUGAAAGCAGAAUUGGACCACAGUCUCAUCAUCUGCUUAUAUGCUAUGGUGCUCUCAGGAAGGUGCACCAUUACCAUACCAUAAGGCUGGAUUCUGGAUGGUGCAAGGCUGUUGUGUCAGAAUGCUGCAAAAGACGUUGCAUCUCCUCCUCAUGGUGUUGGUGAAGUUUCCCUCUGUGCAGGGAAUACAGCAUUUAUGGACAGGAAACUGCUUUCCUUGCUUAGAGGUUUUCUUAUUUUUUUUAAAGGGGUUAGCAUGCUUAGUUACAGGAAACUGAAAUUAGAUGUGAACAGGGGUUGGAGGAAGGAGGCAGGGAGAAUCCUCUACAAGAUUCAAAUGUGUAUGAUUUCUGGGAAAACUAAAUAAAACAGAAUUUAAUUCCCAGUGUCUAAAUAGCAGCAAUUUUUCAUCUAUUAAUCAAAAGACCCAGACAAGCACUGAGUAGUGUGGGAAGCUGGAAAUGGACAUAGGACACCUCCAAACCAUUCUGUUACUGACACCUAUUUUAAAUCUUUUUUUCAAGUGGAGGACCCAGUCCUGGCAAAUGCGUAAAGUCAGCCCUUAGAAGAGCACAAAGCUUUCUCUAGAGAACUGAAUAGCUGGUGAAAGCAUGCCCAUUUGUCUGCCUGUCUUUUGCCAAUGGAUAACUGUGCUUUUAUAGACUGUUUUCAUAGCUCAGAUAAAUGGUAGAAGCUUAACAUAGCUCUACAAAUAAUAAUCAUCCUGAUCAUGCAUAAUAUGCGUUAUGUAAGAGGUGGGCCCAAACUAGAGAUAUUUCUCAUUUCCCUAUGAAGUGUCUUGUUUGAGUGUAUUUGGAGUUAGUUCUUCUUGUGAACAUGUGAGUCUAUUGCCUGCUUUAAAGGAGGUAGUGACUUAGUUUCAGUGGCUGUAGAGAGUUUCACUGAAAUAACACUGUUUAUAGUCUUUCAUGUGAUUUAGAAGGCACAAUUGCCAUAUAGUUCUGAAAAUGUAAUAUAAUUGUAUACAGUGUUCAUGGGAAAUGUUCUGAAGUUUUUUCCCACUGCACCAUUGUGAUGAAAACCUCUGUUGCUCUUCACACUCUGUGAGCCCAUGCUGUACUAUGCUGAAGCUGAUGGGAAACCCACUUAGUAAUGGGAAGUGAUGGACAGAGAGGGAUGCUCUGGCCUGGAAUCUCCUCUCUUUGGCAAUGGCACAGGUAGAAAGCAUCUCCUAAUGUGACAGUUCUUGGCACCUGUAACAAGCAAGGAUUGUAAUAUCUCCUCAUGGCUGCUGACUGAGAGUCUGGUCCUCUGAUAAGAUGUGACCUCCUGGAUACCUGUGACUCAAAAAGAUAAUCGGUGUCUAUAGGACUGGGCUUAAAGCAACUAUGACAUGGGAAAUCCAAAGAUACUUAUGGAGCAAGUCUGCGGAGUAGUCUUGAGCAUGGAUGUAAAACCACAGUUCCUAGGAGGCAAUAUUCACCCUGUAUUGAUAUUAUUUGGGUGCAAACAAUGCAGAGACCUACUCUGACUCUCAGUGCAGGACAGCUUGCAGUGUGAGGCUUCUUAGAUCUGUGUGACAAGGCAACAUGACUGGCAUUGGGCAGCCAGAGCUGCCACAAACCCUUCUUGCAUGGGCAGUUGUCUUCAGAGGUAGACAAAGUGUAGGCUGCCUGCUGCAGAAGUCUGUGAGCCUUCAGAUGCAUGGCAUGCAGAUCAGAGACUUUAGGUGAUACUGUGUGCCACUACAAACAGCGUGGAUAUUGGUUGCAGGACCCUUUUGCUUUUGCUGUGAAAUCUAACUCCUAGACGUUAUUUAAAGGAAAACAGUUGGGAUUUGCAGGCCAGGUCAUGUGGUGACGAAAGUAUUUCCAGUGCCCUCAUUGGAGCCAGGCUGAUUUAUACAAGUCUAGUCCAACAUUUCUGAGAAAUUGUGGAUGAUAGGUUUUUUUGUUGUUGUUGUUGGCUGCACUGAAAACCUGAAGCCUUUCAAAUAAAGUAUGUGAAGGAAACAGAAUUUUUAGAUGGAAUAGUGAAAAUGCUGUUUUCUGGACUCAGACUUUGAGACAAGUUUUUUGCAGAACCCACAUGUUGUGAGAGAAGAGGGUAUUGGGCUUGAAAGCUGACCAAUGAAAUGGGACUCAACUGAGCUUUGAAAAGCAAUUAUUGUCCUUAUUGGUGUUGCCAUAAUAUAUGCUUAACUCAAACCCAAUCUUGCAAAGGCCAGAACCCAAUGAAACCAUGUAACUAGGUAUUUGUGAUUGUUCCUGUCGGUGUGAUCCACUGUUGAAUAGGCUGGAUAUAUGAAUAAAACCAAUAUUUUUUAAAGUGUUGUGUGUUUUUCAUGUCAAAAAGACUGGUUGCUCUCUGGUACUUUACUAUGUCCAUAUGAAGUAUUUUAUGUGGGAUUAAUACAACUGUACGGCUUUCUUAGGACAAUUGGCAGCCACUUGCUGAAGAACACCUUUUCUUCCUCGGAGGUGAUUGUUGCAGUACUGCACUGAACACCAGUAAACUGGGUCUGACUGGGUUGGAGUUAACUCUCCCUGCAGUGGCCCAUACAGUGCUGUGCUCUGAACUUGUAGCUAGAACAGCAUUGCAAUCACACUAGAGUUUUGCCUAUUGCAGAGCAGUGCUGGCACACCAUCAAGACUCCCUCUAACCCAGAACCAACAGGCUGGGGUUGGCAAGAGUGGAGGAGGGGACAUCACCAGGUCAGCUGACCUAAACCAACCAAAGGGAUAUUCCAGGUGGGAAAGGGGAAAGAGAAGGAAGUGCUUUUUUUAUGAAAACGUUUGUCCUCCCAAACAACCACUAUGGGUAUUGAGGCCCUGCUUCCCAAGACGUGGAUAAACAUUGCCUGCUAAUGGAAAGUAGAGAAUAAUUGUUUUCCCUCUUUUUGCUUCCACGUGGCCUUUGCUUGUCUUUUUUUUUUUUUUUUUUUUUUAUGUGUCUUUUCCUUUAGUUAAAUAACCCUUAUAACCCUUAUCUCAAACUGUGAGCCCCCCCUCUUUUUUUUUUUUCCUCUUCAUAUUUCCCCACACACACUUCGAGGAAGGGGAGUGAGAGAGAGGUGUGCUGGAGUUCGGUUGACCAUCCAUGUGAAAACACCACAUCCUGUCACAUGUAAAGAUGUAAAGAUAACUUGGUAUGUCCUCCUCCUAGUCCUGUAAUGGUCGUCCCUUUAUUCUUUGACAGAGCAGUCAAGGCCACUCAAUGUUCCAUCAAAGUAUGGGUAAGGGGAAGAGUGUGUGUCUCACACCUGCUGCUACUGCCUGUGUCCCUCCCUUUGUCUUAUGGCUUUACAAAUACCAAAC